rnacentral:rRNA from 1 species
ACUCCUACGGGAGGCAGCAGUGGGGAAUAUUGCACAAUGGGCGCAAGCCUGAUGCAGCAACGCCGUGUGAGUGAAGAAGGUUUUCGGAUCGUAAAACUCUGUCCUAAGGGAAGAAACAAAUGACGGUACCUUAGGAGGAAGCCCCGGCUAACUACGUGCCAGCAGCCGCGGUAAAUACGUAGGGGGCAAGCGUUAUCCGGAAUCACUGGGCGUAAAGGGUGCGUAGGCGGCUUAGCAAGCCAGGGGUGAAAGGCAUUGGCUCAACCAAUGUAAGCCCUUUGGAACUGUUAAGCUUGAGUGCAGGAGAGGUAAGUGGAAUUCCUAGUGUAGAGGUGAAAUUCGUAGAUAUUAGGAGGAACACCAGUGGCGAAGGCGACUUACUGGACUGUAACUGACGCUGAUGCACGAAAGCGUGGGUAGCGAACAGGAUUAGAUACCCUGGUAGCACAGAG